rnacentral:siRNA from 1 species
AUAAUUUAUCGUUGACCCGGCCAA